ensembl:ncRNA C09B8.11 ncRNA
GAAGAAAUCAACAAAAAUUGAUUGAAUACAGCUGUGGUGUUACAGCAAACGGGGGGGGGGGGGGCAACAAACCGAGGUCCAAGAUGCUUUUCGCCGUUGGCAAUCGGGGGGGGGGGGUACCUCUA